GAUGUCAGGAUACAGUGGCACAUGCCUGUAGUCCCAGCUACUCAGGAAUCUGAGGCAAGAGGUUCGCUUGAGCCCAGGAGUUCUGGGAUGUGGUGCAUUAUCCCAAUUAGGUGUCCACAUGAAGUUUGGCAUCAAUAUGAUCUCCCAGGAGGGGGGUACCACCAACUUGCUUAAGGAGGAGUGUGAACUGGCCCAGGUUGUCAGCGGAGCAGGUCAAAACUCCUGUGCUGAUCAGUAGUGGGAUUGUGCCUGUGAAUAGCCACUGUGCUCCAGCCUGGGCAACAGGGUGAGACCCCUACCUGU
ensembl:misc_RNA Metazoa_SRP Metazoan signal recognition particle RNA